GACGAACGCUGGCGGCGUGCUUAACACAUGCAAGUCGAACGGUGAAGCUCCAGCUUGCUGGAGUGGAUCAGUGGCGAACGGGUGAGUAACACGUGAGCAACCUGCCCCUGACUCUGGAUUAAGCGCUGGAAACGGCGUCUAAUACUGGAUACGAGAAGGGUCCGCAUGGGCACUUUCUGGAAAGUUUUUCGGUUGGGGAUGGGCUCGCGGCCUAUCAGCUUGUUGGUGAGGUAAUGGCUCACCAAGGCGACGACGGGUAGCCGGCCUGAGAGGGCGACCGGCCACACUGGGACUGAGACACGGCCCAGACUCCUACGGGAGGCAGCAGUGGGGAAUAUUGCACAAUGGGCGAAAGCCUGAUGCAGCGACGCCGCGUGAGGGAUGACGGCCUUCGGGUUGUAAACCUCUUUCAGCAGGGAAGAAGCGAAAGUGACGGUACCUGCAGAAGAAGCACCGGCUAACUACGUG
rnacentral:rRNA from 1 species